AGCGUAGACGGUGUGGCAAGUCUGAUGUGAAAGGCAUGGGCUCAGCCUGUGGACUGCAUUGGAAACUGUCAUACUUGAGUGCCGGAGGGGUAAGCGGAAUUCCUAGUGUAGCGGUGAAAUGCGUAGAUAUUAGGAGGAACACCAGUGGCGAAGGCGGCUUACUGGACGGUAACUGACGUUGAGGCUCGAAAGCGUGGGAGCAAACA
rnacentral:rRNA from 1 species